rnacentral:rRNA from 1 species
AGAGUUUGAUCAUGGCUCAGGAUGAACGCUGGCGGCGUGCCUAACACAUGCAAGUCGAGCGAUCUUCUUCGGAAGAGAGCGGCGGACGGGUGAGUAACGCGUGGGUAACCUGCCUCAUACACAUGGAUAACAUACCGAAAGGUAUGCUAAUACAAGAUGAUAUAAGAGAUUUGCAUGGAUUUCUUAUCAAAGCUUCGGCGGUAUGAGAUGGACCCGCGUCUGAUUAGCUAGUUGGUAAGGUAACGGCUUACCAAGGCGACGAUCAGUAGCCGACCUGAGAGGGUGAUCGGCCACAUUGGAACUGAGACACGGUCCAAACUCCUACGGGAGGCAGCAGUGGGGAAUAUUGCACAAUGGGCGAAAGCCUGAUGCAGCAACGCCGCGUGAGCGAUGAAGGCCUUCGGAUCGUAAAGCUCUGUCCUCAAGGAAGAUAAUGACGGUACUUGAGGAGGAAGCCCCGGCUAACUACGUGCCAGCAGCCGCGGUAAUACGUAGGGGGCUAGCGUUAUCCGGAUUUACUGGGCGUAAAGGGUGCGUAGGUGGUUUCUUAAGUCAGGAGUGAAAGGCUACGGCUCAACCGUAGUAAGCUCUUGAAACUGGGAAACUUGAGUGCAGGAGAGGAAAGUGGAAUUCCUAGUGUAGCGGUGACAUGCGUAGAUAUUAGGAGGAACACCAGUAGCGAAGGCGGCUUUCUGGACCGUAACUGACACUGAGGCACGAAAGCGUGGGGAGCAAACAGGAUUAGAUACCCUGGUAGUCCACGCCGUAAACGAUGAGUACUAGGUGUCGGGGGUUACCCCCCUCGGUGCCGCAGCUAACGCAUUAAGUACUCCGCCUGGGGAGUACGCUCGCAAGAGUGAAACUCAAAGGAAUUGACGG